rnacentral:rRNA from 1 species
AGCAGCCGCGGUAAUUCCAGCUCCAAUAGCGUAUAUUAAAGUUGUUGCAGUUAAAAAGCUCGUAGUUGAAUUUCGGGAUCAGUAGGUUGGUCAUGCCUUCGGUAUGUACUGGUCUCACUGAUUCCUCCCUCUUGAAGAACCGUAAUGUCAUUAAUUUGAUGUUGCGGGGAAACAGGACUGUUACUUUGAAAAAUUAGAGUGUUUAAAGCAGGCUCACGCUUGAAUACAUUAGCAUGGAAUAAUGAAAUAGGACGUUCGAUCCUAUUUUGUUGGUUUCUAGGAUUGACGUAAUGAUUAAUAGGGAUAGUUGGGGGCAUUAGUAUUCAAUUGUCAGAGGUGAAAUUCUUGGAUUUAUUGAAGACUAACUACUGCGAAAGCAUUUGCCAAGGAUGUUUUCAUUAAUCAAGAACGAAAGUUAGGGGAUCGAAGACGAUCAGAUACCGUCGUAGUACUUAACCAUAAACUAUGCCGACUAGGGAUCGGAUGAUGUUAGUUUUUAAUGUA